AGAGUUUGAUCCUGGCUCAGAUUGAACGCUGGCGGCAGGCCUAACACAUGCAAGUCGAGCGGAAACGGCAGUAUUGAAGCUUCGGUGGAUUUACUGGACGUCGAGCGGCGGACGGGUGAGUAAUGCUUGGGAAUAUGCCUUAUGGUGGGGGACAACAGUUGGAAACGACUGCUAAUACCGCAUAACGUCGACGGACCAAAGGAGGGGGGACCUUCGGGCCUUGCACUAUUAGAUGAGCCUAUGUCGGAUUAGCUAGUUGGUAAGGUAAUGGCUUACCAAGGCGACGAUCCGUAGCUGGUUUGAGAGGACGAUCAGCCACACUGGGACUGAGACACGGCCCAGGCUCCUACGGGAGGCAGCAGUGGGGAAAAUUGCACAAUGGGCGAAAGCCUGAUGCAGCCAUGCCGCGUGUAUGAAGAAGGCCUUCGGGUUGUAAAGUACUUUCAGUCGUGAGGAAGGGUGUGUAGUUAAUAGCUGCAUGCCUUGACGUUAGCGACAGAAGAAGCACCGGCUAACUCCGUGCCAGCAGCCGCGGUAAUACGGAGGGUGCGAGCGUUAAUCGGAAUUACUGGGCGUAAAGCGCAUGCAGGCGGUCUGUUAAGCAAGAUGUGAAAGCCCGGGGCUCAACCUCGGAACAGCAUUUUGAACUGGCAGACUAGAGUCUUGUAGAGGGGGGUAGAAUUUCAGGUGUAGCGGUGAAAUGCGUAGAUAUCUGAAGGAACACCAGUGGCGAAGGCGGCUCUCUGGACCAACACUGACGCUGAGGUGCGAAAGUGUGGGUAGCGAACAGGAUUAGAUACCCUGGUAGUCCACACCGUAAACGAUGUCUACUAGCCGUUGGGUUCCUUGAGGACUUAGUGGCGCAGCUAACGCAUUAAGUAGACCGCCUGGGGAGUACGGCCGCAAGGUUAAAACUCAAAUGAAUUGACGGGGGCCCGCACAAGCGGUGGAGCAUGUGGUUUAAUUCGAUGCAACGCGAAGAACCUUACCUACUCUUGACAUCCACAGAACUUUCCAGAGAUGGAUUGGUGCCUUCGGGAACUGUGAGACAGGUGCUGCAUGGCUGUCGUCAGCUCGUGUUGUGAAAUGUUGGGUUAAGUCCCGCAACGAGCGCAACCCUUAUCCUUAUUUGCCAGCACGUAAUGGUGGGAACUCUAAGGAGACUGCCGGUGAUAAACCGGAGGAAGGUGGGGACGACGUCAAGUCAUCAUGGCCCUUACGACCAGGGCUACACACGUUCUACAAUGGUAAAUACAGAGGGACGCCAAGCCGCGAGGUGGAGCUAACCCCAGAAAAUUUAUCGUAGUCCGGAUUGGAGUCUGCAACUCGACUCCAUGAAGUCGGAAUCGCUAGUAAUCGCGAAUCAGAAUGUCGCGGUGAAUACGUUCCCGGGCCUUGUACACACCGCCCGUCACACCAUGGGAGUGGAUUGCACCAGAAGUAGGUAGCUUAACCUUCGGGAGAGCGCUUACCACGGUGUGGUUCAUGACUGGGGUGAAGUCGUAACAAGGUAGCCCUAGGGGAACCUGGGGCUGGAUCACCUCCUUA
rnacentral:rRNA from 1 species